rfam:Thiocapsa marina 5811 ctg472, whole genome shotgun sequence.
CUUACCCGGGGAGAUCUCGGGUCCGAGAGGAUCCGAGAAGUCAGCAGAGGCCGUACUAGCGAAGAAGCCCGGUAACGCGGGUGGAGCGAAGGGC